AGUUUGGAAAAUUUGCAGCCUAGUCAAGUGGUCAAAAAGAAAAGCUGAUUUUCAGGGCGAAAAUUCAAUAAGGCUUAGAGUAUUUGCAUAAAAAGGAGCCUCAGUGUAUGGGCGCUGUUCAUCCUCUGGUGCUGAAGCAGCCAAGAGACCCAAGUCUGCCUGGCUGCCUCUUAGGAUAUGACAGCAGAGCCAGUGGCCUCUACUAGAUCCUGUACAACCUCACAAAACACCCAGACAUCGGGAGUGCUGCCAGCCUGUGAUGCAAGAGUCCUAAUCCUGAAGACAUUGAAUGACCUGUCGUUGUGCUGUUUUUACCAAAAAGGAUCAUGAGGAUCAGAGAGGAAAAGUCACUUGCCCAAAGUCACACAGCUGAACAGUGGUGGAGUUCAACUUUGACCGUGGGCUGUCUGGCCCCAAGGUGUAUGCUUGCUUCUCUCCCAAGAGACUCCUUUCUUAUCAGGCUCAAAUGAAUGAAAGGAGGAUGUUAAAGACAACGCCAUUAUUGACGAGAUCACUCCCAAGCGGAUUGGAGAUUGUCCCAAUAUUUAGACCUAUAGCAAGGCCUUGGGAGAAAUGGUGGUGCAGCAGGAGAGCAGGAACCUAACCAUUGCCAUCCUAAGGCCCUCCAUUGUGUGGAGCAACGUGGCACCAGCUUUUCCUGGGUUGGGUUGAUAAUCUAAAUGGAUGUAGCCGACUCAUUAUUGCGAACUCGUCAAGGCGGAUAGUGGUCUUUUCCCACCUGGUCUUCAGUCACAGAUGGGGGCUGGGGCGGUGGCACCGUCUUCGUCGUCGAGGUAGACCCUAUGGAGCCACACCGCCCUGCCGGGUUCUCUGGGUGCAAUAAAUACCAGUCACAGUUUGGGAGGGGGCCGUGUGCAGGUGGGGAGGCCUCUGGGCUGCAUGUGCCGCUUCCUGUGCAGGGCAAGGUGGGCAGAGCGCAAGAAGGCAUGGUGGCACCAAUGGCCCUGAAAUGGCCAGUGGCCCCUGUGCUUGUGGUGGUGGAGCGUUAGCUUGUCUGAGUGAGCACGCUUCCAGCUGCUUCCAUCCCAGUGGCAGUGGUCGGGCUUGUCACUUGUGUGCUGCGCAGAUGUGCCUGCAGGGGAGAAUUCUUGCUGUAGGUCUGGCCGUAGCCACAUAGGUAUGCCUGGUGUUGCGGUUCCCAGGCCAGGAGCAGCUGUCACGCUUGGGCUUGGCCUCCAGCAGCUCCAGCGGGGACGCCGGUGCCACCACAAGGAGGCCGCGGGCGACUGGGGGUGCCAGGCCCAGGGCUGUGGCGGCGGCGGCCACCGCCUAAGAGACUAAAGACGGGCGUGGAGGGGCGGAGCUGGGCGGGGGGCGCCUCAUGAAGGCCGGGCUGGGUGUCCCAAACCAGGGCCACGGAAGGGCAGCGGGAAGGAGGCGUGCGGGCCGUAGGGGCUGAGGGGCAGGUGUUGGGGGCGGAAUGGGAGGGACCCGGGACCUCGCAUGCAUGAAGCUGCAGGCCCGGGGCGCCCUAGUGUUUGAGAGGACGCGCGAUCCAUACCUGAACCUGGGUGCGUAGCCGCCGCCAUCUGCUUCAGGGUGCUGGGCUUUGACCAGGUGGCUGGGCAGCACCAGUUGAAAGCGGUUGAGCAGGCAGGGCGCAGUGGCUCACGCCUGUAAUCCCAGCACUUUGGGAGACCAAGGCGGGCCGAUCACGGGGUCAGGAGAUGGAGACCAUCCUGGCUAACAGGGUGAAACCGCGUCUCUACUAAACAUAC
ensembl:lncRNA novel transcript